AGAGGUUGGCGCGGGCAGGCGCCUCGCCAACCCGGUCAGGUCCGGAAGGAAGCAGCCGUAACGAGUCCCGCUUGGGUCGCUGUCCAGCCUCUCAC
rnacentral:SRP_RNA from 2 species